UACCAGCACCCCGAGUGGUCGGGACGUUUAUUGGGCCUAAAGCAUCCGUAGCCGGUUCUACAAGUCUUCCGUUAAAUCCAACUGCUUAACAGGUGGGCUGCGGAAGAUACUAUAGAGCUAGGAGGCGGGAGAGGCAAGCGGUACUCGAUGGGUAGGGGUAAAAUCCGUUGAUCCAUUGAAGACCACCAGUGGCGAAGGCGGCUUCCUGGACCGUGGCUGACGCUGAGACACGAAAGCGUGGGUAGCAAACAGG
rnacentral:rRNA from 1 species